AACGCUGGCGGCAUGCCUAAUACAUGCAAGUCGAACGAACCAUCCUGAUGAUUGAAGCUUGCUUCAUGAUUCAGAUCUUGGUGAGUGGCGGACGGGUGAGUAACACGUGGGUAACCUGCCCAGAAGUGGGGGAUAACAUUUGGAAACAAGUGCUAAUACCGCAUAACAACUUAGAUCACAUGAUCUUUGUUUAAAAGAUGGUUUUGCUAUCUCUUCUGGAUGGACCCGCGGCGUAUUAGCUAGUUGGUGAGGUAAUAGCUCACCAAGGCGAUGAUACGUAGCCGACCUGAGAGGGUAAUCGGCCACAUUGGGACUGAGACACGGCCCAAACUCCUACGGGAGGCAGCAGUAGGGAAUCUUCCACAAUGGACGAAAGUCUGAUGGAGCAAUGCCGCGUGAGUGAAGAAGGUUUUCGGAUCGUAAAACUCUGUUGUUGAAGAAGAAUAUAUGUGAGAGUAACUGUUCACGUACUGACGGUAUUCAACCAGAAAGCCACGGCUAACUACGUGCCAGCAGCCGCGGUAAUACGUAGGUGGCAAGCGUUGUCCGGAUUUAUUGGGCGUAAAGAGAAUGUAGGCGGUUUAUUAAGUUUGAAGUGAAAGCCCUCGGCUCAACCGAGGAAGUGCUUCGAAAACUGGUAAACUUGAGUGCAGAAGAGGAAAGUGGAACUCCAUGUGUAGCGGUGGAAUGCGUAGAUAUAUGGAAGAACACCAGUGGCGAAGGCGGCUUUCUGGUCUGUAACUGACGCUGAGAUUCGAAAGCAUGGGUAGCAAACAGGAUUAGAUACCCUGGUAGUCCAUGCCGUAAACGAUGAGUGCUAAGUGUUGGAGGGUUUCCGCCCUUCAGUGCUGCAGCUAACGCAUUAAGCACUCCGCCUGGGGAGUACGAUCGCAAGAUUGAAACUCAAAGGAAUUGACGGGGGCCCGCACAAGCGGUGGAGCAUGUGGUUUAAUUCGAAGCAACGCGAAGAACCUUACCAGGUCUUGACAUACCAUGAAAAGCUUAGAGAUAAGUCUUUCCCUUCGGGGACAUGGAUACAGGUGGUGCAUGGUUGUCGUCAGCUCGUGUCGUGAGAUGUUGGGUUAAGUCCCGCAACGAGCGCAACCCUUAUUAUCAGUUGCCAGCAUUCAGUUGGGCACUCUGGUGAGACUGCCGGUGAUAAACCGGAGGAAGGUGGGGACGACGUCAAAUCAUCAUGCCCCUUAUGACCUGGGCUACACACGUGCUACAAUGGUCGGUACAACGUGCUGCGAACUCGCGAGGGCAAGCAAAUCACUUAAAACCGAUCUCAGUUCGGAUUGUAGGCUGCAACUCGCCUACAUGAAGCUGGAAUCGCUAGUAAUCGCGGAUCAGCAUGCCGCGGUGAAUACGUUCCCGGGCCUUGUACACACCGCCCGUCACACCAUGAGAGUUUGUAACACCCAAAGUCGGUGGGGUAACCCUUCGGGGAACUAGCCGCCUAAGGUGGGACAAAUGAUU
rnacentral:rRNA from 1 species